ensembl:lncRNA UBA6-DT UBA6 divergent transcript
AGAUGUAGAUGGAACCAAAGUCCAGAAGUUACGCGUCACCCUUGCUCUACAGCCAAACAUGCAGGACUCUAGUAACCCGCGAAAUGAUGGGAUAGCGUUGCAAAUCCUUAAAAGAGUCUUAACGGAGAAGGGAAAAUGUUACAUUGUCAAAGUCCCAAAGCCUUUCAGCCUGAAGCCAGGAACAAUUGUUCAAAGUUUCUUUGGAACAUCAAGGAAGGAAAUCCAGAUUUUACUUUAAGUGCAAUGGGGAGUCAUUAAGGAUUUUGUGUAGAUACAGCAAAAAGACAACAAUCUUCAAGCCACAAUGGCCCUCACCAGAACCCAGCCAUGUGGUCAGCCUGAUCUCGGACUUCACAGCCAGCAGAACUGUUUGUCAAAGAUCAGAUGGUUUCCUUAAGCUGAUAAGCAACUUCAACAAAGUCUCAGGAUACAAAAUCAAUGUGCAAAAAUCAUAAGCAUUCUUAUACACCAAUAACAGACAAACAGCCAAAUCAUGAGUGAACUUCCAUUCAUAAUUGCACAAAGAGAAUCAAAUACCUAGGAAUCCAGCUUACAAGGGAUGUGAAGGACCUCUUCAAGGAGAACUACAAACCACUGCUCAAUGAAAUAAAAGGGGACACAAACAAAUGGAAGAACAUUCCAUGCUCAUGGUUAGGAAGAAUCAAUAUCGUGAAAAUGGCCAUACUGCCCAAGAUAAUUUAUAGAUUCAAUGCCAUCCCCAUCAAGCUACCAAUGACUUUCUUCACAGAAUUGGAAGAAACUACGUUAAAGUUCAUAUGGAACCAGAAAAGAGCCUGCACUGCCAAGACAACCCUAAGCAAAAAGAACAAAGCUGGAGGCAUCAUGCCACCUGACUUCAAACUAUACUACAAGGCUACAGUAACCAAAGCAGCAUGGUACUGGUACCAAAACAGAGAUAUAGACCAACGGAACAGAACAGAGGCCUCAGAAAUAACACCACGCAUCUACAGUCUAUGGUAUUUUACUAUGGAAGCCCACCCUAAGAUUUCAAUUUAGCUUCCAUGUAGUUCCCUGGUGCUUGGCAAUCUCCUGACUCACUACCUUGUCACAUGGUCUAUCCCAAGUCAGUCCUUCUCCUCUUCCCAUAUCCCCCUACUCCAAUAUUCACCCAUAUGUGGCCAAGUCUUCCUCCACCUGAGCUCCUUGCAGAGGAAUGAACAAUUGUUUGAACAUUAAUGAAUAUUAAAGAAUUCAGCUUUAGUACGACUAUCCCAGAGAGACUACUAAACAAGUUCACUACAGUGCACGAAAAUCCAGCUUUGGAGAAACUUCUGACCAGCAAGUCAGAAGUUUCAAAGAAAACUUCUUUGGUUUCAAAGAAAAAUCAGCUAGGAAAAGAUACUGAGGAGUCUGUGAAUAGAUGGAGUGGAGUGAGCUAGUAGAUGGUGAAGGCGCUGCUCACGAAAGAAACAGAGGUGGUGCCCAGGUCUUCAGAAUCUGAGUGACGACACUGGACACAAACUACUCACUGACUGGGGAGCAGCUGAGAAGCCUAGCAAAUCCUGGCUUAUCCCCCGAGAAUGUUCCAGCAGGAAAGCUUCCUGCUGACUCAAAAGGAUUUUUCUUCUUCUGAACUCCUAUUAUGGGAAUGGAUGAAAUCACUUACAGAGCCACAGAAGGAAACAAAGCAAAGCCAGGAUCAUGAGUUGGAUUAUCUGGAGGCCUAGGCCAAUGGGGAGUUAUUGCUUGCAGUCACUGAUCAAGCAAAUAAACUUUUCCUUCUUUCUUAUGAAAUUUAUUUAAGAAGCUGAAAUUACUUAAAUGAUAAUGAGUUGUGAGAAAAGAAUUGUAGUAGAUAUUUGUUCUCUAUCCAAAUUGCACUGAGUGGGGAGGUGUACCCAUACCCCAGCUUCGAGAAUUGACUGAUAACAGUUCACACCUGCACUUCUCCAGAGAAUUGUCCUUGUCUGACCUGAGCACCUUGUUUAGUAAUGUCUGGUAGGCUAUGCUCCACCUUCCCUGGGCAGAUCCACUGGUCUAAGACAAACAACCCAACCCUCUAAUUUCUGGGAAGAAUCACCUCCGUGAUUAAUCUAAGCUCCAGAUCUCCCAGAGAAAUCAUGCUGAGGCUACAUUUGUGAAACUACAUUUUUAUCUAGCUUCUUCCUUUGCCCUUUCCUGCUGUCCUCACUUCCUUAUGAAUUUUUUUCUGAAAGAUCUUGAUUAAUAAAUUAUUUAAUCAAGAUCCCCCAGUCAUAAGUUCUGUGUUUU